rnacentral:rRNA from 1 species
CAAUAGCGUAUAUUAAAGUUGUUACAGUUAAAAAGCUCGUAGUUGGAUUUCUGGUGGGAGCGAUCGGUCUGGCGCUUAGCGCGAGUACUUGCAUCGUCUCCGGCCAUCCUUGGGGAGAGUCUGUCUGGCAUUAGGUUGUCGGGCAGAGGAUCCUCAUCGUUUACUGUGAAAAAAUUAGAGUGUUCAAAGCAGGCUUAUGCCGUUGAAUAUAUUAGCAUGGAAUAAUAAGAUAGGACUUUGGUACUAUUUUGUUGGUUUGCGCACCAAAGUAAUGAUUAAUAGGGACAGUUGGGGGUAUUCGUAUUCCGUUGUCAGAGGUGAAAUUCUUGGAUUUACGGAAGACGAACUACUGCGAAAGCAUUUACCAAGGAUGUUUUCAUUAA